UUAUAUUAAAAUAAUUUUGCUGGGGUGCCUGGAUAGCUCACCUAGGAGAGUGUGCGCCCAUGUGCAGAGGCUCAGUCCUCGCUGCAGCGGUCGCGGGUUCAGUUCUGACCUGUGACCCAUUUCUGUAUGUCAUUCUCCCUCCCCCCACCCUCUCAAGUCUAAGCUGUCAUGUCAAAUAAAGGCCUAAA